rfam:Slackia heliotrinireducens DSM 20476, complete genome.
GACAAUUUAGUUCCGCUGCCGAAGACAGCAGGCACCCGAUUGGGUUCAAUUGCGAAAGCAGCCAGCCGAGGUGGUAAGCAAAUGGAAUUUUGCGGCCCCUGAGUCUUCAUGGCACGGGGGCCGUUUUCUUUUCGUUUU